rnacentral:lncRNA from 1 species
AGCCUGAAGCCAGUCGAUGGUCUUCUUGUCCACUUGGAAAGCCUUGGCGAGGAUUUCAUCCGAGAUGGGGGGAUUCGACCCGAACACAGCAUCGGCGAUGGUGAUGGUGCCAGGGUUUUGGCUGCUGAGAGCACCGAUGGCGAAGGUGUUGGUGUGCCCAGGGUUGAACUGGAAGUGGAUGAGGCCUUGGGGGAACACAAACACAUCACCCUUCUUCAGCAUCUUGGUGAAGAGACGGUUGCCGUCGUCGCUGUUGGAUGUGACGAAGCCGACCAAGAGCUGUCCCUCUAUGACGGUGAGGAUCUCGGUGGCACGGGGGUGAGUGUGGGGCGGGUUGAGGCCAUUGGGGAUGUAGUCGAUGCGAACCAUGGAGAUGCCGAGGGUGUUGAGCCCUGGAAUCUGGAUCACGUUGGCAGGCGUGACAUUGAACCCGAAAUUGUUCUUUCCUGUAUCGCCGGGCAUGUCGAGGCCAGAAAGAGAGAAGUCGUCGGCUUUCACAACCAUGGGGUCCUUGCAGACGAAUCCAUUCACCCGCACUGCAACAGCAGAAGGAAGAAGCAAACUCGGUCGGUAAACAUGCAUCAGGAGAACAAACGCACCGAAGGAAAUUAAUCUGGAUACUAUGAAUACCUUUAGACAUCAUAUCUGCGACACAGAAGUCUUGAAGUUGGCUAGGAUCGGAAGCCAUUGCAAGAGAGGAAGCCAUGGCGAGGAGAACAAGGAGAAACAUUUCGGCGGCCAUCUGUAAUCUCUUAGAUGGAUGGGAUUACCUGGUGCCGUGAUACAGUGGCCUGGAAGAGACGGGUAUAUAUAGAGAAGCAGGCUCUGAAACAUUCAUGAUCAUUAGGUGAAGGAGAUGAAAAGUAUACCAUGUUAGGUUGCUUUCUUCUUGCAAUAUAUUUUCUAUAGCCGUCACCUCGUACGAGAUCCAUAUGAUGCACAGUAACCAUUAAAUUUGUUGACGUGUCUCAGUAACCUAAUCCAUGACCAUUUUAUAUGUAUAUAUAUAAUGAUGGAGCUUUUAGUUAGAUCAUGCUGUAGUGUAAAAUGGACUCUUACGUUCGACUGCAUAAUCCACCACGUGAGAUUUUUGUGACGACCUUACGCUACCAAACAAGAGGAGAAGUCAGCAAAGAUGUGGCAGCUGAACAGAACAAGCUAAGGACAGGUAGAAAGAACAAGAAGCCAAAGAUGUGAUUACCAAUUUGACCUUGUCGGGUCUUGUGUACUGCUACGGCUGAUACCGUGUAUUAUAAUUAAGGUGUUCUACGUCAUCUCCGACUAUUUUCAUCACACUGAGACGUCGCGUGCAUGUUGCAAAGAAGUAUGUAAAUACGUAAGUUCUUAAGAGAUUAUAAGUUGAUAUAAUGCUGUCCAAGAAUAGUAAGCAUGUUGAUAGUUGCCUCUACGUUAAACGCUUAUGGGAUCCUAAGUUAUUAAGAGAUCAUAAGAGAUUUUAAAAAUACUAAAUCUUCGUAUAUAGGUAUACAAGAAUAUUGUACGAUUUAGAUAAAAUCAAUUAUAUUCGUGAUAAAAAUCAAUGAGGUUAGGUGAGAUAAAAUAUUUUUUUUAAUUAAAUAUCUAAAGUAAAAUUAACAUAUCAACAUUACAUUGUUCACAUAAAAUUUAUAAUCAUAUUAUCUAUAAUACGAAAAAAAAAUUAUGUCAAAAUUUAAAAUCAAAUAAUAAUGGAUCUAAAUAAUAUUACGAUGCAUACCUUUCGUUGUUAUUUAGAAGAAUAAAUAUUAUCUGAUCUACAGGCGUAUCAUCGUCGGAUCUAAAUGAAAUACUUCUAUUUAGCCCUUAAGAUCAUAUCUAUUUAUAAACAAAAACAAAGAGUCUAAGAUAAGAUAUUAGAAGAAUUCCUCCCAUAAGGAUAUCCUUGGAAUCCUACUAUAAUAUGAAUUUUUUUUUUAUUAAUCAAUAAUCAUAAUCAGAAUUCAAUCAUAUCUAUAAUAUAUUUUACCUAAUUAAAUAUGACCACACAAUCUAACACUCAAUCAUAAAUCCACGAAUCAUAAAUCCAUAAAAAACCAGAAUUUUUGAACUCAUUUCAACCGAGUUCCCAAAAAGUUUAUUAAGUAAAUAAGAUAUUAUUAUGAAUACAAAACAUUUUAAAGUUUUAUAGAUGAUAAUUCUUUUCUAGAAGGUUCUGCCAGCGAGGAUGAAUAAAAAAAAAAGAAAAAUAUCGAUAUAAUAUUUGUAAUUUAUAUAAAUAUAAACAUUUUUCGUCCAUCCAACUCAGCGACCUCUCUGGCAAUCAGAAAGAUUUCAAUAACGAUCAAACAAAGGCUAAUCGAUUAUUUCAGUCAUCAGAUUUUGGUGGCAACGACAUGUUACCAAACACCAUAAAGAAGCUCUCAAAGUCCGACCACGAGACAAGACAAAGUUGCCAGUACGAAUCCGUCUCCGUUCUUCGACCUCGUUCCAUACUGUAUAUUACGAUCGAAGUGAACUGUGUCAUCUUCAACUAUUUCACCAUCACACUGUUUAUAUAUUAUUAUGGUCUAUUUGUGAUCACAACAUAAGAGUUCAAAUUCAUAAUUAUAUUUCAUUUUAGUAAAUGAAUAAAUUGGAGUGAUUGAUACCGCCGGUUAUAGGUGGAUGCAAUCGAGCCAUAUACUACUACUGAACUUUGUAGAUCCCAUGUCAUACAAGUCAAGACAAAAGCACUCCUUUCGGGAAUUCUUGGUGAUGACUUGUUGAAGUUAUGAUCGUGUAUACAAUAUCUCAUGUUUCAGUCAUAAUAUUUGCAUAAAUUGACUUAUUACCGGUAUAUUUUAGUAAAGUUGUCUGCAUAGAUAUAUAAAGUUCAUGAACCUGAGGGAGGAUAAACAUAAGGUGGAUAAAGAAGUAUGCAUAUAUAUAUAUAAUAUGAGAUAUUACACUUUUUGAGGAUGCUGCACUCCAUAUAAUCUAUAAUCUUCCAGGUGGGAAAUACUAUCAUAUGAUCUAAAUAUUGAAAUAUGACUCAUGGAUUUCUUUCUUAAAAAUCAAGUUUUAUUUAUUAUAUUUAAUGACGUGUUUAUAUGAAAUUUGCAACAGUACACCAAUCGUAUGUCAAUAGAGAUGACUCGAGAAUUCUGAAACAUGACACACUUCAUACGUACUUUUCAUAACAUAGAAAGGUCUCUUAAUUCCAUUACAAUAGCAAACGCAAACAGGUAGUCCACUGUUUGCUUAUUCACACCAAAACACACGAGCUAAGAGUGCAGCUUAAUUCAUUCCUCCGACUAGUUUUUCUUCGCGAACUGAGCCUGAAGCCAGUCGACAAGCUUCUUGUCCACUUGGAAAGCCUUGGCGAGGAUUUCAUCCGAGAUGGGGGGAUUCGCCCCGAACACAGCAUCGGCGAUUGUGAUGGUGCCGGGGUUUUGGCUACUGAGAGCACCGAUGGCGAAGGUGUUGGUGUACCCAGGGUUGAACUGGAAGUGGAUGAGGCCUUGAGGGAACACAAACACAUCACCCUUCUUCAGCAUCUUGGUGAAGAGGCGGUUGUCGGUGUUGGAUGUGACGAAGCCGACUAAGAGCUGUCCCUCUAUGACGGUGAGGAUCUCGGUGGCACGGGGGUGAGUGUGGGGCGGGUUGAGGCCUUUGGGGAUGUAGUCGAUGCGAACCAUGGAGAUGCCGAGGGUGUUGAGUCCUGGAAUCUGCAUCACGUUGGCAGGCGUGACAUUGAACCCGAACUUGUUUCCGGUAUCGCCAGGCAUGUCGAG